AACUUUUAUCAUAAAAGUGUAAAUUAUCAUUUAAUUGGAAUUUCAAAAGCGGGAUAGCUUCGAAAGUUUCUGCAUAUAUCAUGAAUUAAAAGAUAAUUCAAUAAUAUUCAUACAAAUGUGAUAAUUAGCUGAUUGCUGAAAUUACUUUAGGCGGGAAAAAGGAUUUUCAAUAUGGACGCUAUAACGAUAAUUUGUUUUAUGGAGAAGAGAUUAUUGUGACUACGUGCAAUGUAGUUAUUAGAGUCAGUGUUUACGUAAUAAUGUUUUUAAUAUUUUUUAGAGCACAAUAGCUCUCAUUAAAUUUGAUAAUAAUAGUUUUAUACGAAAUAGAGUCAGUGCUUGUUCGUCGAUUGUACAAUGAUAAACGG